AUGGUUCGUCCCUUGGAAGUGCGGUUCGUUCCCUUGUCCGGCUUUGCACCUGGAGGGGAUCCACCACAAGGUCCUAGAGCAAAGAAAGUAUCCAAGGCUGCACCUGUGUUUGAAGUCCCUGGGUUAUGGACACCCGAUGUACCUCUAGAGAAUGCCUAUCGUGACUGUAUUAACAUGACUGUCGUAUACCUUGAUUUGCACUUGCCAAGGAAAAUGAAGCCUAAGCUUUCUCUGAGAGAGACCUUCUAUAUGAUAUAUGGUGGCAAUACAAUCAAAGAACUUGCGGAGCUUGUAUGCGGUCGUCUGAAUCUUGAGGUGGGGCAUCCAAUGAAGUUCACCAUUGAUGGGACUCUUCUGCCGGAAGAUUGUGUACUCUCGUCAGUUUACAACAAGUAUAUUUGGGACGGGAGCAUUCUGACACUCUGCUGCUGUGUUGAUAAUGUGAAGAAAAUCUUCAACGUGGACCUGUCAGUGAAAGUUCCUGUGAUACCACCAGUGCAUGUGAUUGAAGAUGAAGUCCCAUUACCCACUCUGAGGAUCUGCUCUGUCCGGGACGCAAGGAGGGCGUCUAUGAUGAGCAAGGUUGGAACCUACUCGCUGAAGGAUGGUGCUCCAGCUGUGCUGGUGCACGGCACCUAUGGGGAGGGCGGGUCACUAGUUUUCUAUUAG
rnacentral:rRNA from 1 species